AACGAACGCUGGCGGCGUGCUUAACACAUGCAAGUCGAACGGGAUUCGGAGCUUGCUCCGAUGAGAGUGGCGCACGGGUGAGUAACGCGUGGAUAACCUGCCCUGGUAUCCGGAAUAACAUCUCGAAAGGGGUGCUAAUACCGGAUAAGCCCACGGGAUCCUCGGAUUCUGCGGGAAAAGGUGGCCUCUAUUUAUAAGCUACCGUAUCAGGAUGGGUCCGCGUACCAUUAGCUAGUUGGUGGGGUAAUGGCCCACCAAGGCGACGAUGGUUAGCUGGUCUGAGAGGAUGAUCAGCCACACUGGAACUGAGACACGGUCCAGACUCCUACGGGAGGCAGCAGUGGGGAAUUUUGCGCAAUGGGGGAAACCCUGACGCAGCAACGCCGCGUGAGUGAUGAAGGCUUUCGGGUCGUAAAGCUCUGUCAGAGGGGAAGAAAUGGAAACGGUUAAUACCCGUUUUCCUUGACGGUACCCUCAAAGGAAGCACCGGCUAACUCCGUGCCAGCAGCCGCAGUAAAAC
rnacentral:rRNA from 1 species